GUGAAUCAUCAAAUUUUUGAACGCAAAUUGCACUCUCUUCGGUGAGUAUGCGCGUUUGAGGGUCAGCCUAAAAAAAAUCUACAUCGUCGCUGUUUCCCGGUGACAUUCGUCGGAAAUUGGGUCAUCUUAAAUCUUUCUGGUCUAAGCGGCUUAAAAUUUUCUUUACGAUUCUACGAACGUUUUUAAGAUUUACUUACACGAAUAAGGUAUCGAUUUUUAUUAGACGUGGCCGUUGCAUCCGAUCACGUCCGUAACUAUUUCGUUAACUGACCU
rnacentral:misc_RNA from 1 species